UAGGUAAUAAAUUAUUACCUUUAGGGCUCCUGAUAUCCGUGAUACACGCCGAUCCGUAGCUACGGGUUCUUAAGCCCGGCGGUACUAAGAUCACGAAUUUCACGAACACGGCAAGGUACGUACCUCGUACCUGCGUUCGCGUCCGGAUUCACGUGACACGCCGUGACACGCCAUGAUAACGUAGCACGUACCUGCGUUCGUGUGCGGAGCUUCGGGCUCGGUUCCGUUGGAUACUUACUUAUCGCACGUCUAGUAGGUUCGACACGCCCGGGACAAAAAUAAAUAAGGACUAAGUAUUAUUGAAUUGAGUUACCACUUAGUAUAUUGAAUACGGGACGUUCGUCGGACAAACAUUUACGUGUGAAUUAAACUUAAAUUGCAUUUUUUGCAUCGAUUUGAAUAUAAUGGUUAUAUCUAAAUAAUUUAUGGGGUUAUUCUGUUUUCUGUAUAAUCAGCUAUUGAUUUUAGUCAAAACUAGCGACCUGCCCGUUGCAUUGCACUAAUAUAAAUAUAAGGUGUAAAACUCCCUAGUAAGUAUCAUUAUAAUUAUGAACUUAAGCAACGCUAUGCUACUGCUUGCUACUAUCAAAGAAUAUAACGUAGCCUAAAUAUAAACAAGGCAAUCCUAAUUCAAAGAAACAAAAGGGUAAAUUUCUGCAAAUCUUCGGUAGGUAUGAUAAAGGUAAUACA